rnacentral:rRNA from 1 species
GAUGAACGCUGGCGGCGUGCUUAACACAUGCAAGUCGAACGAUGAAGCUCAGCUUGCUGGGUGGAUUAGUGGCGAACGGGUGAGUAACACGUGAGUAACCUGCCCUUAACUCUGGGAUAAGCCUGGGAAACUAGGUCUAAUACCGGAUAGGAGCGCCUACCGCAUGGUGGGUGUUGGAAAGAUUUAUCGGUUUUGGAUGGACUCGCGGCCUAUCAGCUUGUUGGUGAGGUAAUGGCUCACCAAGGCGACGACGGGUAGCCGGCCUGAGAGGGUGACCGGCCACACUGGGACUGAGACACGGCCCAGACUCCUACGGGAGGCAGCAGUGGGGAAUAUUGCACAAUGGGCGAAAGCCUGAUGCAGCGACGCCGCGUGAGGGAUGACGGCCUUCGGGUUGUAAACCUCUUUCAGUAGGGAAGAAGCGAAAGUGACGGUACCUGCAGAAGAAGCACCGGCUAACUACGU